rnacentral:rRNA from 1 species
CCUACGGGUGGCAGCAGUGAGGAAUAUUGGUCAAUGGCCGGAAGGCUGAACCAGCCAUGCCGCGUGAAGGGCAGGGCCCUAUGGGCGUUAAACUUCUUUUGUGCGGGAGCAAGAAUGGGCACGUGGGGCCAGACGAGAGUACCGUACGAAUAAGCAUCGGCGACCUCCGUGCCAGCAGCCGCGGGAAUACGGGGGAUGCAAGCGUUCUCCGGAUUUCUUGGGUUUCAAGGGUGCGUAGGCUGUGAGGUAAGUCAGCGGGGAAAUGCCCCCGCUCAACGGGGUGAAGUGCCAUUGAUACUGCCUUGCUGGCUUGCGGAUGCCGUGGGAGGAAUGUGUGGUGUCGCGGU